GCAGGAAUGUCUCACCAAGACUGAGAUUGUGAGCGUCGCCCUUCUGCCUAAGGGGGAGUGAAAGGAGAAGGUGGCACCUGGGGUCACAUGGUAUCUCAACACUCAAGCUUCCUGAGGUCAGGGCUGAGGGUCUCCCCGCUCUGGCCUCAAACCUCCUCGUACCCAGGGGUUCUGAGGUCAACUCGCCCCCAGCCCCAUAUUAAACAACAGUGAUCGUCAGGCAAAGCCUCAGGAGUGAUCUUAAUUUCUUCUUUAUCUCAUCCCCUAGGCCACAGCCAUCAAAUCCUGCCAUCGUCCCCACCAAAGCAUGUUAUGAGUCCACCUGCUGUUUCAGUGACUUCCCUCCUGGGCCAGGGCCAACACAUCACCUGCUCGUCACCCUGCCCGCCUGCAGUUUCCUUUUCUGGAGAUGGAAUCUUCCAGAAGCAGAGCUGCCAUGAAAUUAUGAACGACAUGCUUAUUUCAGAGGCAGUCUUCUCCAAGUCCGCAUCCUCCGUGGCCCAAGCUCAUUUGAAGGGGCAGAUGAUGUUGUUACCUGGUAGCCCCGGCAGCUGUCACCCCUGCAGCUCCCCCGAUGCACCAUCUGCUCCAGCUAUGGCUCGUUUUCAGGCAAGUUGUUACAGGAACCUCCAGGGGUCACCUUUCACAGUCCUCUGCACCCCCAAAUCCAGUGCGUCCUUUGAGUUCUAUAAGAGACCCUGGCACAUCUGCUGGUCCUCCUUGCCUAAUAGCACUUCUUGGGUCAGAGGCUUCACCAUGGCUUGGACCACUGCAAUAGCUGCCUUUCAUGUAAUGGAACACCAGACAAGGUCCAUUCGGGAAAGAAAUCUCAAGUCUCCAUUCUUGCCCCAUUCCCCUCCCGUCGUGCUAUGAUUCUUGUUACUCUACACCCAUCCAACUUUUAUCCCAUCGCCUACUGUGCCUUCUCUAGGGCACCAUCCACACUCAGAUCCCUCCCACAGUCCUAA
rnacentral:lncRNA from 1 species